UGCAGUCGAGCGAUCUUCUUCGGAAGAGAGCGGCGGACGGGUGAGUAACGCGUGGGUAACCUGCCCUGUACACACGGAUAACAUACCGAAAGGUAUGCUAAUACGGGAUAACAUAAGAAAUUCGCAUGUUUUUCUUAUCAAAGCUCCGGCGGUACAGGAUGGACCCGCGUCUGAUUAGCUAGUUGGUGAGGUAACGGCUCACCAAGGCGACGAUCAGUAGCCGACCUGAGAGGGUGAUCGGCCACAUUGGAACUGAGACACGGUCCAAACUCCUACGGGAGGCAGCAGUGGGGAAUAUUGCACAAUGGGCGAAAGCCUGAUGCAGCAACGCCGCGUGAGCGAUGAAGGCCUUCGGGUCGUAAAGCUCUGUCCUCAAGGAAGAUAAUGACGGUACUUGAGGAGGAAGCCCCGGCUAACUACGUGCCAGCAGCCGCGGUAAUACGUAGGGGGCUAGCGUUAUCCGGAUUUACUGGGCGUAAAGGGUGCGUAGGCGGUCUUUUAAGUCAGGAGUGAAAGGCUACGGCUCAACCGUAGUAAGCUCUUGAAACUGGAGGACUUGAGUGCAGGAGAGGAGAGUGGAAUUCCUAGUGUAGCGGUGAAAUGCGUAGAUAUUAGGAGGAACACCAGUAGCGAAGGCGGCUCUCUGGACUGUAACUGACGCUGAGGCACGAAAGCGUGGGGAGCAAACAGGAUUAGAUACCCUGGUAGUCCACGCCGUAAACGAUGAGUACUAGCUGUCGGAGGUUACCCCCUUCGGUGGCGCAGCUAACGCAUUAAGUACUCC
rnacentral:rRNA from 1 species